GUUUGUCACAAGGAUAAGAAUUUCCUUGAUCUUCUGUUCCUGCAUGGCUGGUAUCAUUGAUCUCUGCAUAUCCCUUUCAAGUUUCUGAAAAGUGCACAGGCAGGAAAAUGAAAGUGUCAGAAAGGAACCCAACUAAAGAGAACCCUGCAAACAGUGUUGUUCAAAUAUUUGUUUUUCUCAUCUUGAGGCCUCCAGGAGGUGUUACAAUGAAAUGCUCCUCAUCACCACCCUGCUCACUGAAGUGAGGAAAGCUGCAGCCAGAGGGAGAAGUGGAGCUGGUUCUCCAAGGAAAGACACCCCACACUGCUAGGCCUACAACUUAGCAAAUAAACAGUGUUACUCACAGGCA
rnacentral:lncRNA from 1 species